rnacentral:lncRNA from 1 species
CACCGAUCAUCGUCCUCCUUCUUCGAUUGAGCAUGCCAUCAGCCAGAUAGAAGCCCUCCCAGAUCAUCAUCCUCUCUCCAUGCCACCGCAUCGAUCGAAUCAAGGCCAUCAUUGUUGUCCUCUCUCCUUAAUCAAGUGCACCACCGAUCGUUGUCCUUCCUCUCCGAUCAAGCAUGCCAUCGGUUGGAUUGAAGCCCUCCCCAUCGUUAUCCUCCCUCCACGCCACUGCACCAGCCGAAUCAAGGCCACCA